GCAUAAUCAUUAGUUUUUUAAUUGGAGACUGGAAUGAAUGGUUGAUACUAAGAGGUAUUGUUUUUAUAAAUAAUUUUGAAUUUAAAUUAGAAGUAAAAAUGCUUCUAUAAAGCCAUGGGACGAGAAGACCCUAGAAGCUUAAAAUUUAAAAAAUUUUUUAUUGGGGUAAUGGUUGAAGAUAAUAAUUUUUAAUUUAAAAUAGGAAAGGAGUAGAAGUUACUCUAGGGAUAACAGCGUUAUUUAAUUAGAAAGUUCUUAUUAAUAAUUAAGGUUGCGACC
rnacentral:rRNA from 1 species